rnacentral:lncRNA from 9 species
CAAAGGGAUGGUUCGCGUUUGGGCGGGAUCACGCGAGAUUUCAUCACGCUACCCAGAAGGUGCCUAAUUUAAAACUUAACAAUUGUUCAUUUCUGUAAUUUUCCAUUGCAAAUGUUUGGACCAUAGUUGACUGUGGGUGACUGAAACUGUGAAUGAGGGGGGGACUACUGUAAAAUAAAUUCGUAAGUAAUGACCCCUAUGCAAAGGCUUACAAAACUCCUUCCUGAGGCCAUUUGCUUUCUCAGAUUCGCAGAGAGAAGAAAUGACUGCAAUUAAUAAGAGAAUUUCUAGGUGUGGGGCACUGCGUGUGUAAAGUGCCCCAAUUCUUAUUUCCGUAUACCCAGUGGGCCCUCUUCCUACCAACAAAUGAAGCAGUGGGAGCAGAGAACUUGAACACCAAGUAUGUUCUCUGAUCAAGCAUAAAAAAGGACCUUCAGGAGAUCCCAUCCUGGUGCAGCAGAAACGAAUCAGAACCAUGAAGUUGAGGGUUCAAUCCCUGGCAUCAGUCAGUAGGUUAAGGAUCUGGCAUUGCCGUGAGCUCUGGUGUAGGUCAUCAGCUACAGCUCAGAUUAGACCCCUAGCCUGGUAACCUUCAUAUGCUGCUGGGGCGGCCCUAGGAAGGGAAAAAAAAAAACCCGAAAAACCUUCAUAUGCUUUUCCCCAGAAUGCUGCACAUUUUGGUAUAAGAUCUCUUCUUACUGAAGCAUGCUAAAACUGUCCAGUCCUUUGCUGCAUUACCUGCUCUUCAUAUUCUGUUGAGGCCAAAAUGUGUUAAAUGGACAGAUUGCUCUGCCAGAGACAAACCUUGUCAAACUAAGAAAAUUAAACCCAGGCCCUGUCAUAAAAACAGGGCUUAUGAGACUGCCGGAUGCACCAGCAAAACUGGUCUCUCUCACAGCUGCACUCCCUCCUGGCAUUUCAACACUGGCCAAAUGUUGAUUCAAAGCGUAACUGAAUCAGAAAUCUCUCAAGCAACCUCUGCAUCAGCUGACACAGCCGACUGCUUUUGGGUGAUUCAUCAGGCAAACUUCUUGAACCAGCUGUGAGAGAUUAAGAAAUGUUAUCUGCAUUCAAGGG